rnacentral:rRNA from 1 species
UGUGCCAGCCGCCGCGGUAAUACGUAGGUGGCAAGCGUUGUCCGGAUUUACUGGGCGUAAAGGAUGCGUAGGCGGAUAUUUAAGUGAGAUGUGAAGUCCCCGAGCUUAACUUGGGAGCUGCAUUUCAAACUGGAUAUCUAGAGUGCGGGAGAGGAGAAUGGAAUUCCUAGUGUAGCGGUGAAAUGCGUAGAGAUUAGGAAGAACACCAGUGGCGAAGGCGAUUCUCUGGACCGUAACUGACGCUGAGGCAUGAAAGCGUGGGUAGCAAACAGGAUUAGAUACCCGGGUAGUCC